AACGAACGCUGGCGGCAUGCCUAACACAUGCAAGUCGAACGAGACCUUCGGGUCUAGUGGCGCACGGGUGCGUAACGCGUGGGAACCUGCCCUUAGGUUCGGAAUAACUCCCCGAAAGGGGUGCUAAUACCGGAUAAUGUCUUCGGACCAAAGAUUUAUCGCCUUUGGAUGGGCCCGCGUUGGAUUAGCUAGUUGGUAGGGUAAAAGCCUACCAAGGCGACGAUCCAUAGCUGGUCUGAGAGGAUGAUCAGCCACACUGGGACUGAGACACGGCCCAGACUCCUACGGGAGGCAGCAGUGGGGAAUAUUGGACAAUGGGCUAAAGCCUGAUCCAGCAAUGCCGCGUGAGUGAUGAAGGCCUUAGGGUUGUAAAGCUCUUUUACCCGGGAUGAUAAUGACAGUACCGGGAGAAUAAGCUCCGGCUAACUCCG
rnacentral:rRNA from 1 species